CCCUACGGGACGCAGCAGUAGGGAAUCUUCCACAAUGGGCGAAAGCCUGAUGGAGCAACGCCGCGUGGGUGAAGAAGGUCUUCGGAUCGUAAAACCCUGUUGUUAGAGAAGAAAGUGAGUGAGAGUAACUGUUCACGUUUCGACGGUAUCUAACUAGAAAGCCACGGCUAACUACGUGCCAGCAGCCGCGGUAAUACGUAGGUGGCAAGCGUUAUCCGGAUUUAUUGGGCGUAAAGGGAACGCAGGCGGGUUUUUAAGUCUGAUGUGAAAGCCUUCGGCUUAACCGGAGUAGUGCAUUGGAAACC
rnacentral:rRNA from 1 species